rnacentral:rRNA from 1 species
AUCUACUCAAAAAAUUUUUUAUAAAAUUAAUUAAUUAGAAGGAACUCGGCAAUUUAAUGCUCCGCCUGUUUAUCAAAAACAUGGCUCUUUGUAAACAAAAAAUAAAGAGUCGAGCCUGCCCAGUGAAUUUUCAACGGCCGCGGUACUCUGACCGUGCAAAGGUAGCAUAAUCAUUUGCCUUAUAAUUGAAGGCUAGUAUGAAUGGUUUGACGAGAGCAAUACUGUCUCCUUAUUAUUUUCAAGAACUUAACUUUUAGGUGAAGAGGCCUAAAUUUUAUUGAAGGACAAGAAGACCCUGUCGAGCUUAAAAGAUUAUAUAGGAGUCUAUAUAUCUUUAGAUAAAUUUCUAUUGAGCUUUUUAGUUGGGGCGACUGAGGAACAAAAAAAGCUUCUUUUUAAAAAAUAAACAAUCAUGUUUAGAUCCGGUAGUAGCGAUUAAGGAAAUUAGUUACCGCAGGGAUAACAGCAUAAUCUCUCUUGAGAGACCUAAUCGAAAGAAGGGGGUUGUGACCCUCGAUGUUGGACUAGAAUAUCCUAAAGACGCA